GUUAACCUGUUACUCCCACUCCCAACCUUAGACUGGGAAAAAGGAUCGUAACAAGUGGGGGCUCAUCUGCUCGUCUCUUAAUUGGCUAUUGGUAACACAACAUGGGAGAACCAAUGGCUUUUGGCAGUAAUGAUGUCAAACCUGGUGCGAUGCUUAAAGCUCAGAGCACAGUGAUGGGGAAGAGAGAGCAGCAGCCAUCCUGCUGAUUCAGGGCACUGGCUGGAACCAUGAGAGGGCUCCUGGUGGACGUGAGCACUGAGGGGAAGUCUUUGAGUUUUAACAAGCUUGCUUACGUGCCCCACGAUCCAAGUAAUUUAUGGAGAUAGCAGUGCUGGCAAAGCCCCUAGUGAUCUGGAGUCCCACUGAUGUGGUAAACGUGCUCCAUGGCUGUCAGAACUUGAAUGAGAGCUAUAAGAGGACUGGGAUAGGGGACCAGCAGGUAAGACAGAUGCGUCAGUGUAUGUGUUAUGAAGUGGAG
ensembl:lncRNA